UGGUACAAUAUUAUCCCGCAGUAAAAGCUCCACGUCCAUGUGAUGGGCGAUUAGAUGUUGAAUUCGUAACGCACGGAAGACCUUCUCGAAGCAGGCACCUUCUUCAGUCAAUAAGUAUGGAACUUGACCUGUAAAAUGCAGCAAUAUCCCUCGAUCCAAUACUCUCAUCACACUCCGGAUGAGUUUGUAAGUACAUCCAUUGAGACAGCAGGACAUACAGGGUGAUUUCAGUCUUCAUCACGCAAAGCCCCGGAUGUCCCACCAGGUGCUCCAUUAAAGUGACAGGAAUGGUACGCAGGUCGUUCAGACUAUUAUUAUAGUACAUCAUUAGAUUCAGCAGAAACCACUGCACGCACUGGUCGCGCAGUUUUACGUCUCCGUAUUGGCACGCGGCGUCGUAAUAGUGCAACGCCGUAUGGGGAUUGAUUGUCUCAAGCAUUACUUCACCGCAGCGUUCGAUCACGCCAUUCAGUUGCAGCAUUGUUGCUGCGGCUAAGACACUCACGACGCCAAGGGGUUCUAGGUGUAGCUCAUCGCUGUAGAGUGCACCUAGUACUGUCCGCAGCGCAUCCUUGGUAAUCAGUGGGUCAACCACGUCGAUUUCAAUGCGUGUCUCGCCGGUUUCCUUCCAGUUUCCGCCGAACAUACUGGCGAAAUAGGGACUCUGGCCGAGAUACACUUUGUGAAGGGCGAAUUCUUCGUCGAGGGCUACGACAGUCACGUCGCUGUCGCGGCCUUCCACGAAGAGGGCUUGGUAAAUGUAUUGGACAGUGCUGCAUAGUUUUUUUCUGCAAAAUGAAAAAGUUUCUUAAUAAUUAAUUAAUACUUAAUUACAACUAGGUAGUUUUAUGUCACGCAUAGUACCGAAUUAAUGGUUGACAUUAACAACGUGUGUAAAAUUUGUGUUUUAUGCACUGCACGGAAAAUUAAUUAGUAAUUCAGGUCUGUCCGGCCAUAUAUGCAUUCCUCAAUGCGACCCAUCGAAUUUAAUGAGGCUUUUCAUUUAAAAUACGGACAAUACAAGGCCACGACGUGUAGUGUGAUAAACACCGACCUGAAUCAUCGAACAAUUGAUUUUUAUUUAAUUUAAAAAAUAGCAGAAUUAUAAAAAUAUGCUUCAUAACUUUUAAAUGCAUCGAAACUAAGUGAAACUUAUCGUAAAACGAAACAUGAAACAAACGUACACUGUUCAGGAAGUUCUCAGACUUAUCCAAGCAUAAACUGAACAUGAAUAAUAAUAUUCUACAGUUGAUAAGCGCAAAUUCUUGAUUACACAAAGGUGUAAAUUUGUAUGUUCUAAAGUAGCUGGAAAAUGUCACCGUCUACCGGUAGUUGUGCGGUAACUUUCGACGAUGACUUCAUCACUAUAAAUACAUACAAAGUCAUAAAACAUAAA